AAGACCUUGCACUUUUGGAGCGGCCGAUGUCUGAUUAGCUAGUUGGUGGGGUAAWGGCYUACCAAAGCUUCGAUCAGUAGCUGGUCUGAGAGGACGGCCAGCCACACUGGGACUGAGACACGGCCCAGACUCCUACGGGAGGCAGCAGUGGGGAAUUUUGGACAAUGGGGGCAAGCCUGAUCCAGCCAUGCCGCGUGAGUGAAGAAGGCCUUCGGGUUGUAAAGCUCUUUCAGCCGGGAAGAAAAGGUUGCGAUUAAUAAUCGCRAUUUMUGACGGUACCGGAAGAAGAAGCACCGGCUAACUACGUGCCAGCAGCCGCGGUAAUACGUAGGGUGCGAGCGUUAAUCGGAAUUACUGGGCGUAAAGCGUGCGCAGGUGGUUUUGUAAGUCAGAUGUGAAAUCCCCGGGCUYAACCUGGGAACU
rnacentral:rRNA from 1 species